GUAGACUUCUUUUUCCUAGUAGACUUCCUUAGUGAAACUUCUGCUACUGCAUUGUGUGCGUGUGGAGCCUCCACAACUUGUGGCUGUAAACGCUCUUCAAUCAUAGGUGAAGGUUUCAUUAUCUCUUUCUAUAUGGGAAAAGAAAUAUAGAUAGUACCAAUCCAUUCAUUCUUUUCUAUGAUCUUGGAAUGACUACUUUCAUCAGUCAUAUCAAAUUUUAGAAACUUAGCUGUAUAAGAUUCUACAAUUCUAGAUCCACCUUCUCUGCAAUAGAACCUAUAACCCUUUGAAUGUUCAGGAUAUCCAUAAAGUAGCAAC
rnacentral:lncRNA from 1 species